rnacentral:rRNA from 1 species
UCGCCUGUUUAACAAAAACAUAACUAUAUGAAAUAAUAUAUAGCUUUUCCUGCUCAAUGGUUAACUAAAUAGCCGCAGUACUCUGACUGUGCAAAGGUAGCAUAAUCAAUUGGCUUUUAAUUAGAGUCUGGCAUGAACGGAACCAUGGAUAACAGCUGUCUUAAAUAUACUAAAAUGACAUUAGUAAAUAAGUGAAAAUACUUAUUUAAAAAUAAAAGACGAGAAGACCCUAGAAGCUUAGAAUUUAUUUUGUUGGGGCGACAGAAUUACAUAUAACUAAUCUAUAUAUACUGAAGUUAUUCGGAUAGAUAAAGCUACUCUAGGGAUAACAGCAUAAUUUUAAUAGUUUGUGACCUCGAUGUUGGAUUAGGUAUGUUAUCCUUUAGAAGAGGAUAACAAAUGCUCUGUUCGAGCAUAGGCACCUACGUGAUCUGAGGUCAAACCGGA